AAUCCAGAACAGUGUAUAAUCAUCAUCAGACAAGACAAGAUUUAUAGGGUCCACGAACAAAAUAAUUAUCAUAUAGGUACGAAAUACCAUACGCAAAAAUUCCAACAACGCAAGACGAAGUGCAGAAGUAAAGCGGAUAAAAUUGAUUGUUAAUUGCACAAAUGCGACAAAAUGGAAAAUGAGAUUGUAAAAAUGAUAGGUAGUGCCGCAAUUACGAUGUUCUUCAUGACAGCAUGCAACGCUAUAUAAUAAUUGACGAAAAAUUAUUGAAGAAAUCAGAUCAUCAAUUUCUAUCAGGUUUUACAAGCGUGAAUACAUUUGUUACACAAACUACGCUUUUACUUCUAAGGGAACAGACAAUCGUAUCUCCGACGAAAACGUAAAAAAUCCUCAAAAACAUAAGAAAAAUCAAUGAUGUCGCAAAUUGAUGAUGAUGUUGAACACAAUCUAUCUAAUCUGAAAUGGAAGAAAAUUGGCAAGGCAGUUGCUUUAAUGAUAUAUCCACUGAAAUCAAGUACAGAACCAGAACGUUAUAGUUCAUUUGACUUUCGUGAUUAUGGAAUGUAUACAACAGAUGGCGGAUCACAUUUUUGGGACGGAAUGUUUAUAGUGUACAACAAAACAAAAGACAAAUUCGAAGAUAGUCGAAAAUAUUUUCUGUUGAAAUCAAUAGAAGUGGAAGAAACAAACAUUAACAAAGCAAUUUUGAGCAACGCGCAUGUGGAUAUCGGUGCAAUAAAUUUCGAUAUGAACCCAUAUCGCAAUCCUUCUUAUAGUUUCACAAAAGAAACAUGGAAUGGGACUUUAGAGACACAUUACGAUUUACAUAAUGAAGUUAAUCAAUUGCUAAAAGAUGUAGAUUAAUAUAUGCUGACGAUAUUAAUGAGACUAAGCAGGAUAUAAUUUUGGCACAAAUGAUUCCAAGUAAUUGGGACUCUACAAAAAGAAUAAAAGACAAUUGGUCCCUCUUUGUUCAAGGAUACGAAAAUAUUGAAAAUGAUCAAACGGGAAGACUUAUAACUUUACCACGUUUUGUAUUGAUGACAUCAAGAACAUUUCUAAAGCUAUAUGGCACAAAAACGAGUGCGUCGCCAAAUAUUAUCGUUAAUACUGACGAAUCAAUCGAUCCUUUUGAAGAAAAAAACUGGGACUGGAUAAAAAUCGGCGAAAAUGUAAUUCUUAAAAAUAUCAAACCGGUUUCGAGUCUAGUCGAAGAAAUAUAUCAACAUUUCGGAAUUUAUUGCGGUUUAUGGACUGGGGGAAACGUAAAAGAGGACGAUGAUGUAUUUAUUUCUGAUACAUCUGAUACAGUUUCCACUAAAGCAAAGAAAAAAGACAUUUAAACCUCGCAUUUAAAAAGUACUGUUUCAUUGUCAUAAUAGUUAGAUGUUGAAAUAAUUUCACAUUAUUCACAUUCAUAGAAAUAAGUAUAAUAAAUCAUUUAGUGCUUUCACUGUCCAUCGCCAAUACACAAAAAUUGAACAUUUUAUUGAUAUUGAUAUACUUUUAUUUUAUAUGUCACUUAUAAGGUCACUUAUAAGGAAUAUUUUUUUAAAUUCUCCACUAUUUCUUCUUCAUCUCUUUUCAAUGACGCAUUACUUUAUGUAUUAUUUGCGACAAAAUGCAAAAUGGAAACCAUAUA
rnacentral:misc_RNA from 1 species